rnacentral:tRNA from 1 species
UCCGGGGUGCGGUGUUGGCAGCCGCGACGGGACUUUGGAUCCCGGCACAGACGCAGGUUCGAUUCCUGCACCCGGAGCCA